UACGUAGGGGGCUAGCGUUGUCCGGAAUCAUUGGGCGUAAAGGGCGUGUAGGCGGCUUAACAAGUCACUUGUGAAAUCUCCGGGCUUAACUCGGAACGGCCAAGUGAAACUGUCAAGCUAGAGUGCAGAAGGGGCAAUCGGAAUUCUUGGUGUAGCGGUGAAAUGCGCAGAUAUCAGGAGGAACACCAAUUGCGAAGGCAGCUCGCUGGGACGUGACUGACGCUGAGACGCGAAAGCGUGGGGAGCAAACAGG
rnacentral:rRNA from 1 species